rnacentral:rRNA from 1 species
AACGAACGCUGGCGGCGCGUUUUAAACAUGCAAGUCGAACGAGAAUCCCGGUGCUUGCAUUGGGAGGAGAGUGGCGAACGGGUGAGUAACACGUGGAUAAUCUACCUCUAGGAUUGGGAUAACUACUCGAAAGGGUGGCUAAUACCGGAUAAGAUGGUAGUUGCUUUAAGCAGCAGCCAUUAAAGGUGGGGACCGCAAGGCCUAUCACCUGGAGAUGAGUCCGCGGCCCAUUAGCUUGUUGGCGGGGUAACGGCCCACCAAGGCUACGAUGGGUAGCCGGCCUGAGAGGGUGACCGGCCACAUUGGGACUGAGAUACGGCCCAGACUCCUACGGGAGGCUG